rnacentral:lncRNA from 1 species
GACGGGCACAAUUCCAGUGGCGGACGUUCUCGCCGCUAAAGAACAGUUAAGACUAUCCGUGGGAUAAAAAUUCGGCGGAGGAUGUUCCUCGCCCUUCUUGCACCAUUCACCUCGAGCCUUGAACUCCGCCUGAAACAAGGGUGGACAUUUCAAGGCUCCUUUGUGGAGCCAAUUGUUCUGCAAUACCCUUAUCGCGAUUUCUUGACCGGAAUGGAAACACGUGAAUGUGUAGUUUCCAACCUGCGGGAGUAACGUUACGAAACAUAAAAAGGGAGCAGAGUGAUCAUCGGUUUCCUUGAUCCGAUGGAGAAAGAAUUAAAAAAAAAAAAAAUUCAACCCAGCUUACCACGAUGUGCAAUCUCCCAAGCUCGCAUUUGUACUGAUAGCAGCCGGACCCCCAAUGCUGCCACUGUCUCGCCUGCUUGCAAUUUCUCUCCUCCCACAUCUGAUCUGCGUUAUCAAAGCAUCUCGACUGAGGCCCGUACUUCUCGACGGCAAAAUUCUUGUCCAAGACUGAAAACGUCGAGUUACAAUAAAGCAAUGCGACCCUCUGACAACGAUGUUCCUCGCCUUCCACGUGAAUUCCUGGAUGUAAGGACAGUAGUCAGCCAAGGAUACGGAACCACCGUAGUAUUCUUCCCUACCCGAUGGAACGUGCGGUAUCGAGUCAAAGUUC